AAAAAAGUACUAUAAUUAUUGUACAUGUAUCUUCAUACUUUGUUCACAUUUUUGUUCAACUUUACAAAAUCAAACUAGUAUUAAGUUCUGUCUACAGUAUGCAUGUUCAUACAUAAAAGCGAAAAUUUCACAAAGUUGAAUAGCCAGUUGAUGGCAGUCAGUUGUCGUGACAAAACAUAAACAAAGACAUGUAAACAGAUAAAUUGUCAUAAUGGCCAUUAAUCACUCAAUGAUUACAAUUUGAAAUGUUCAAUUCCUUUUUUGCCAAAAAAAUCUAAAAUAAAAAAAUAAUCACGAAAUACUACAGUUUUUACAUAACUCAUAUUUUAACACUCAAGUUAUCUGUUGGUGGCCGAUCAAUAAAGUAUCAAAAAGAAUUCUUUAAAAUUGCAAGUAAAAGGGAAAAGUUAAAUUUUAAUAAGUAAUCCUGGACCCUUAAUAAAUUCAUUAUAACUUAGUGUAAAGACCUUUUUAUCUAAUUUGUAAGAAGCUUAUCACCCCACACAGUCAACCUAGGUUGAAACUAUUCAUUGAGACUUUAUGCAAUUUGACAACAUGUCGGGUUUAAUUUUUGAAAUUGAUUGUGGAAAUGAUCAAAUAUAGGCCAUAGUCAUAAAAUUUUGUAUGCAAGGCCAUAUUAAACAAAAUUAGAAAAUAACAAAACAAAGCAUCCCUAAUAUCAUCUGGUAAGAUAUAUGUACAACCAUGUAUUGACUCCCCCC
rnacentral:lncRNA from 1 species